rnacentral:lncRNA from 1 species
AAGAGAGUUGGUUUCAGUGCCGCAGGGGGAUCGCGAUAUCUAAUGCGCAUGGUAUUUGAGUUCUAGCCAAUUGAUAAUUGGCGUGCUUAGACGUUAUGUCGACCAAUAGAUUUUUGUAUUUGAUUCUGCGCGGUAAAUCAUUAUAGAGGGCGUCCGUAUUGGAGUUUUCCGGGACGCGCAAGUCUUUGCGCCGCGAAGAAACUUUCGUCUUCUUCACUUCGUCGUCAGCCUUCGAACCGAGUAGUUGGAUCCGUCGAGUGUUUGCUAUAGAGUAACGCGAGACGUACGUAGUCGUCGAAAGCGCGUGUCGAGUCGUCGUGGAGAUAAGAGAAUCCUAUCAAGAAAGUUCAGUUGUACACGAAGCGAUAGGCGAUUCUUAGAAGAUUGCAGCGAUUGAGUGGUAACCGAGUAGAGUGGAGUCACCUUGCCGAUAGUUCGUGAGUCGUUGAGAGAUGCGCGUUCAGUCGAGAAAAUGGUGGUUAAGACGAAGCGUUAGCCAAGUCUCCGAGUAGUAGUCGAGUUGCAGAAGCACUACAACUUGGAAGCAUCUUCAAGACCAACCUGGAUCGAUUGACGUACUACUUGGUGUCCAUAUACACGCUCAAUGUAUCAAAGAUGAAUUGCGGAAAGGAGAUCUCAGCUUCUAUUAAUACGAGGACCUCACUGUGCUGGAUAAUUUCAGUGAUUAGCAGGCCUAACAAGGUCAAGAUUCCACGACUGUGCCAACCAGCAGUCUAUCAACAUAGAACUCAACACAUUACUGAGGCAGUUUUAGGAGAUUGAGGAAUUACCAGCUUAACGUCAAAUUCUAACGAAGAAGUUACAGUGCGAACAAAACUAUCAGCAAAUAGUGAGUCGAGACUCAGAUGGACGCUAGAAAAGUUACUGUUCAAACCUGGUUUCCCAAUUUCGACUGAAUUAGGAGAUUUAUUUUUAGCGGCGGUAGACAUGUUAAGAAAUAUGGAGCAAUGCUUUGAGUGACAUUCUAAAUUUAACGAAACCUACAUUGAUUACAUGUGAGAUAUUCUAUCCGCAGGUCAUGCAAGACUGAAGGAAAACAUGAGGAAUUCGAAAUAGUAUAUUGUGUACCAAGGGCAUAAAAUGUUCUUAAUGAACGAGUGUGGAGUUUGCAGUACGAAUCGAGACGAGCUAACACGAGCCGAAGACGAGUGCGUUUGCGAUUCGGAGAAAAGUACUGCAACCGAACGAUAUUUUUUGUAACGCGCGGACGUAUUUCUGCAUUUUUUCGUACGUGUUAAGCAGGGCUUACAUGUUUUUUUUUUUUUUUUUUUUGACACGGAAUCAAGCGUUUGUUAGAAUAUCAAGUACAUCGAAGUCAACACGUUUUAAAAAGCGGGCAAAGAAGACAUACGCCCGCUAAGAUCUUUUUUGCCCUAUUAAGCGAGCCCCAUAAAACAGUAAGUUUAACCCGCUUCAGAGGUAAUAAAAAAACGAAAAUCUUGCUUGUGUUACAAAAAAUGUUAUUUUGUACUUCACCACGAAGCAGAUGAGGAAAAUACGCGAAAGUGCGCCUGGUUUAAAAUACUUCACGCAAAACAAAACAAGGAUUCUCGAUGAAUGACCUUUUACAUGUAGGUCCGUAUCUUCUUCUAGCCUUGAUAGACUUAUUAACUAACCGGCGAAUCGAAAAGUUUGCAUUUGUAACAGAUAAUGAAAAAAUAGUUAGACAGUUUACACUAAUCAUAAAAAUCAACAUCUGCAAGCUAUAGUCUGGAAGGAUAAGCCUGAUAAAAAUAUUUUAUUUCUUAACCACAAUAAUAUUCGAUUUCACUUGCUCGCUAUUUUUAGCUAUUAGGACGCUGAAACAAUUCGCGAAGAACGAAGGAGAUCAUCUCAGAUUAGGAAGUGGAAUUCUUGUACAGGAAUAUACAUAGACGAUGUCCUUUUCGGAGGCUACACGAUAGAGAAAAAGCGAAAGCAAAAAAGAAAGGCGUACUCGGAGACAGGUAAAAAAAAGCAUAAUUUAGAGAAAUAUAUAGACUGUUUCGAGUUGUCGUAAAUAUUGUAACGUCCAAAAGUGACAUUGGUACCGUUAAUAAUUGAGCAAAUGAUAUUCAAUAGGAGAUAAGCUCGAAAAAGACCAAUUUCGGCGUUCUCUGUCUAGAGUUCGGAUUGUAGGGCCUAUGGGGCUGAUAAACUGUACAGAACUUUAUAAUUUGGAAUAUAAGAAUAUUAAAUAAAGUAUUGAAUUUA